GAUGAACGCUGGCGGCGUGCCUAAUACAUGCAAGUCGAGCGAAUGGAUUAAGAGCUUGCUCUUAUGAAGUUAGCGGCGGACGGGUGAGUAACACGUGGGUAACCUGCCCAUAAGACUGGGAUAACUCCGGGAAACCGGGGCUAAUACCGGAUAACAUUUUGAACCGCAUGGUUCGAAAUUGAAAGGCGGCUUCGGCUGUCACUUAUGGAUGGACCCGCGUCGCAUUAGCUAGUUGGUGAGAUAACGGCUCACCAAGGCAACGAUGCGUAGCCGGCCUGAGAGGGUGAUCGGCCACACGGGGACUGGGACACGGCCCAGACUCCUACGGGAGGCAGCAGUAGGGAAUCUUCCGCAAUGGACGAAAGUCUGACGGAGCAACGCCGCGUGAGUGAUGAAGGCUUUCGGGUCGUAAAACUCUGUUGUUAGGGAAGAACAAGUGCUAGUUGAAUAAGCUGGCACCUUGACGGUACCUAACCAGAAAGCCACGGCUAACUACGUGCCAGCCGCCGCAGUAA
rnacentral:rRNA from 1 species